UGAGUAGGCGGUUGCAUAUGUCAGAUGUAAAAGGCACAGGCUUAACUUGUGUUAGCAUUUGAAACUGUGCGACUUGAGUGCAGGAGAGGUAAGUGGAAUUCCUAGUGUAGCGGUGAAAUGCGUAGAUAUUAGGAGGAACACCAGUGGCGAGGGCGACUUACUGGACUGUAACUGACGCUGAGUCACGAAAGCGUGGGUAGCAAACA
rnacentral:rRNA from 1 species